UCUUCAAACUCUUUUAGUUAAAAAUCAUAUAAAAACCAAUACAAUUAGUACCAAUGUUUUUAAUCAGAAGCUUGGUUUUUAUCCAUGCAAAAUGUGCACAGCCUAUAAAAAGACAAAAUUUAAAAAAGACACCCAUAUUAAAUUCAUGUCUAAUGUAUCACAUAAAGAUUAUAAGAUCAAUUCAAUUCUCACUUGCCAUUCUAGCAAUGUGAUAUAUCUCCUUUGGUGUCCUUGUGGUCUACAAUACGUGGGAAUGACCACAAGGACUUUAAAAACUCGUAUAAUGGAACAUCUGGGUAAUAUACAAAGAGGCUACACAAAACACAGUGUUUCUGCACAUUUUGCACAAUAUCACAAUAGUGAUCCUUCACUUAUGAGUUUUAUUGCUAUAGCCCAAAAGAAAAAAGAUUGGAGAGGUGAGGAUAACUUUAAAGAGCUUUGCAAAAUUGAAAGCAGGUGGAUUUUUGAGCUCAACACCUUAUCCCCUAAAGAUCUCAAUUUAGAUUUUGAGUUGGUU